rnacentral:rRNA from 1 species
GACGAACGCUGGCGGCGUGCUUAACACAUGCAAGUCGAACGGAGUGGCGAGCGGGUGAGAAACACGUGGGUGAUGUGCCUUGCUCUUGGGGAAAAGCUUGGGAAACUGGGUAUUAUCCCGGAUGGUGCAAGAUGGGCUCGCGGCCUAUCAGCUUGUUGGUGGGGUGAUGGCCUACCAAGGCGACGACGGGUAGCCGGGCUGAGAGGGUGGACGGCCACAUUGGGACUGAGAUACUGCCCAGACUCCUACGGGAGGCAGCAGUGGGGAAUAGUGCACAAUGGGCGGAAGCCUGAUGCAGCGACGCCGCGUGGGGGAUGAAGGCCUUCGGGUUGUAAACUCCUUUCGACAGGGACGCGGUACCUGUAUAAGAAGCACCGGCUAACUACGUGCCAGCAGCCGCGGUAAUAC